UACGUAGGGGGCGAGCGUUGUCCGAAGUUACUGGGCGUAAAGCGCGCGUAGGCGGUCUCUUAAGUCUGGGGUGAAAGGUUCAGCGCUCAACGUGAACAGUGCCUUGGAUACUGGGGGACUUGAGUUCGGGAGGGGGCAGUGGAAUUCCUGGUGUAGCGGUGAAAUGCGUAGAUAUCAGGAGGAACACCGGUGGCGAAAGCGGCCCACUGGGUCUUUUCUGACGCUGAGGAACGAAAGUCUAGGGUAGCGAACGGG
rnacentral:rRNA from 1 species